AACGAACGCUGGCGGCGUGCCUAACACAUGCAAGUCGAACGGGAAAACCCGCAAGGGUGAGUACAGUGGCGCAUGGGUGCGUAACAUGUGGGUAAUCUGCCCAGAAGCCCGGAAUAACUCGCCGAAAGGGGUGCUAAUGCCGGAUGAGACCACGGGGACUUCGGUUCCUGGGGGAAAAGGUGGCCUCUGUAUACAAGCUAUCACUUCUGGAUGAGCCCGGGGCCGAUCAGCUAGUUGGCGGGGUAAUGGCCCACCAAGGAUACGACUGGGAGCUGAUCUGAGAGGACGAUCAGCCACACUGGAACUGAGACACAGGCCAGACUCCUACGGGAGGCAGCAGUGGGGAAUCUUGCGCAAUGGGCGAAAGCCUGACGCAGCAACGCCGCGUGUGUGAUGAAGGUCUUCGGAUCGUAAAGCACUGUCGGGAGGGACGAAUAAGAGCCGGGUGAACAAUCCGGUUCGACGACGGUACCUCCAGAGGAAGCACCGGCUAACUCUGUGCCAGCCGCCGCAGUAAAAC
rnacentral:rRNA from 1 species